rnacentral:rRNA from 1 species
AAACCCUUUAACGAGGAUCUAUUGGAGGGCAAGUCUGGUGCCAGCAGCCGCGGUAAUUCCAGCUCCAAUAGCGUAUAUUAUUAUUGUUGCGGUUAAAAAGCUCGUAGUUGGAUCUCGGUUUCGGGCGAGCGGUGUACCUUGCGGUAUUUACUGUUUGCCCGGACGAUUUUGUUGGUUCGUUUAUGGUUCUCUUAACCGAGUGCCAUAAGUGGCCAGCACGUUUACUUUGAAAAAAUUGGAGUGCUCAAAGCAGGCGCUACAGCCUGAACAUUAGUGCAUGGAAUAAUGGAAUAGGAUCUCGGUUCUAUUUCGUUGGCUUUCGGAGUCGAGGUAAUGAUUAAUAGGGACAGACGGGGGCAUUCGUACUGCGACGUUAGAGGUGAAAUUCUUGGAUCGUCGCAAGACGAACUACUGCGAAAGCAUUUGCCAAGAAUGUUUUCAUUAAUCAAGAACGAAAGUUAGAGGUUCGAAGGCGAUCAGAUACCGCCCUAGUUCUAACCAUAAACGAUGUCGACCGGCGAUCCGUUAUCGUUAACUGAAUGACUUAACGGGCAGCCUCCGGGAAACCAGAGUGUUUGGAUUCCGGGGGAAGUAUGGUUGCAAAGCUGAAACUUAAAAGAAUUGACGGAAGGGCACCACCAGGAGUGGAGCCUGCGGCUUAAUUUGACCCAACACGGGAAAUCUCACCAGGCCCGGACACCGGAAGGAUUGACAGAUUGACAGCUCUUUCUUGAUUCGGUGGGUGGUGGUGCAUGGCCGUUCUUAGUUGGUGGAGCGAUUUGUCUGGUCAAUUCCGAUAACGAACGAGACUCUGGCCUACUAACUAGACGUUAGAUCCCUUUGUGGGUCUAUCGCAGCUUCUUAGAGGGACGGGCGGCGUUUAGCCGCACGAGAUUGAGCAAUAACAGGUCUGUGAUGCCCCUAGAUGUUCUGGGCUGCACGCGCGCUACACUGAAGGAAUCAGCGUGUGUUCCCUACCCGAAAGGGUUGGGAAACCCGUUGAACCUCCUUCGUGAUGGGGAUUGGGGAUUGCAAUUAUUCCCCAUGAACGAGGAAUUCCCAGUAGGCGCGAGUCAUAAGCUUGCGUCGAUUACGUCCCUGCCCUUUGUACACACCGCCCGUCGCUACUACCGAUCGAGUGAUUUAGUGAGGCCUUCGGACUGGUCUUCAGUAUGGCUUUCGGGUCGUGUUGGAGUACCGGAAAGAUGACCAAACUUGAUCACUUAGAGGAAGCAAAAGUCGUAACAAGGUUUCCGUAGGUGAACCUGCGGAAG